CCUACGGGAGGCAGCAGUGAGGAAUAUUGGUCAAUGGACGCAAGUCUGAACCAGCCAUGCCGCGUGCAGGAUGACGGUUCUAUGAGUUGUAAACCUCUUUUGUACGAGGGUAAACCCCGAUACGUGUAUCGGGUUGAAAGUAUCGUACGAAUAAGGAUCGGCUAACUCCGUGCCAGCAGCCGACGUAAGACGGAAGAUCCGAGCGUUAUCCGGAUUUAUUGGGUUUAAAGGGUGCGUAGGCGGUUUGAUAAGUUAGAGGUGAAAUGUCGGGGCUAAACCCCGAAACUGCCUGUAAUACUGUUGAACUAGAGAAUAGUUGCGGUAGGCGGAAUGUAUGGUGUAGCGGUGAAAUGCUUAGAGAUCAUACAGAACACCGAUUGCGAAGGCAGCUUACCAAACUAUAUCUGACGUUGAGGCACGAAAGCGUGGGUAGCAAACAGGAUUAGAUACCCCGGUAGUC
rnacentral:rRNA from 1 species